rnacentral:rRNA from 1 species
GGAGUUAGCCGGUGCUUCUUCUGUGAGUGAUGUCCUUCCUGCCGGCUAUUAACCCGCAGGCCUUCUUCCUCACUGAAAGUGCUUUACAACCCGAAGGCCUUCUUCACACACGCGGCAUGGCUGGAUCAGGGUUGCCCCCAUUGUCCAAUAUUCCCCACUGCUGCCUCCCGUAGGAGUCUGGGCCGUGUCUCAGUCCCAGUGUGGCUGAUCAUCCUCUCAGACCAGCUACGGAUCGUCGCCUUGGUGAGCCGUUACCUCACCAACCAGCUAAUCCGACAUAGGCUCAUCCGAUAGCGCGAGGCCCGAAGGUCCCCCGCUUUCCCCCGUAGGGCGUAUGCGGUAUUAGCCUGGGUUUCCCCAGGUUAUCCCCCACUACCGGGCAGAUUCCUAUGCAUUACUCACCCGUACGCCGCUCGCCACCAGGGAGCAAGCUCCCCGUGCUGCCGCUCGACUUGCAUGUGUUAGGCCUGCCGCCAGCGUUCAAUCUGAGCCAGAAUCAAACUCUGA